rnacentral:rRNA from 1 species
AUUGAACGCUGGCGGCAGGCCUAACACAUGCAAGUCGAACGAGUGGCGGACGGGUGAGUAAUGUCUGGGACACUGCCUGAUGGAGGGGGAUAACUACUGGAAACGGUAGCUAAUACCGCAUACCAUCAGAUUUGCCCAGAUGGGAUUAGCUUGUUGGUGGGGUAACGGAUCACCAAGGCGACGAUCCCUAGCGGGACUGAAGGGAUGACCAGCCAAACUGGAACUUAGAAACGGGCCAGUAUCCUACGUGAGGCAGCAGUGGGGAAUAUGGCACAAUGGGCGCAAGCCUGAUGCAGCAAUGCCGCGUGUAUGAAGAAGGCCUUCGGGUUGUAAAGUACUUUCAGCGGGGAGGCGUUACCCGCAGAAGAAGCACCGGCUAACUCCGUGCCAGCAGCCGCGGUAAUAC